ACAGGGACGUGCAUGAAAUUUGGUGCCGUGACUCGAUCGGGGGACCUCCCUUGGGAGAUCAAUCCCCUGUCCUCCUGUUCUUUGCUCCAUGAGAAAGAUCCACCUACGACCUCAGGUCCUCAGACCGACCAGCCCAAGGAACAUCUCACCAAUUUUAAUCAGGUAAGCGGCCUCUUCUUACUCUCUUCUCCAACCUCUCCCACUGUCCCUCAACCACUUUCUCCUUUCCACUCUUCAAUCUCUCCCUUCUCUUAAUUUCAAUUCCUUUCAUUUUAUGGGAGAGACAAAGGAGACACGUUUUAUCCGUGGCCCCAAAACUCCAGCGCCGGUCACGGACUGGGAAGGCAGCCUUCCCUUGGUGUUUAAUCCUUAACCCACAAGUGUAAGAUACCUCUACUCCCUCCUUGGUGACCGAUCAUGCACCCCUUACCAUGUCAUUAAAACC
rnacentral:lncRNA from 1 species